CCUACGGGAGGCAGCAGUGGGGAAUAUUGGACAAUGGGGGCAACCCUGAUCCAGCCAUGCCGCGUGUGUGAAGAAGGCCCUCGGGUUGUAAAGCACUUUCAGUGAGGAAGAACGCCUGGUGGUUAAUACCCAUCAGGAAAGACAUCACUCACAGAAGAAGCACCGGCUAACUCCGUGCCAGCAGCCGCGGUAAUACGGAGGGUGCGAGCGUUAAUCGGAAUUACUGGGCGUAAAGCGCGCGUAGGUGGCUUGAUAAGCCGGUUGUGAAAGCCCCGGGCUCAACCUGGGAACGGCAUCCGGAACUGUCAAGCUAGAGUGCAGGAGAGGAAGGUAGAAUUCCCGGUGUAGCGGUGAAAUGCGUAGAGAUCGGGAGGAAUACCAGUGGCGAAGGCGGACUUCUGGACUGACACUGACACUGAGGUGCGAAAGCGUGGGUAGCAAACAGGAUUAGAUACCCCUGUAGUC
rnacentral:rRNA from 1 species